UGUAGUUUUGAUUUUUAUUCAUUUUUAGAUUUUUAUUGUAUUUACAACUCACCUGUAUUUGGACACCUUUUAAAAACAAAUGCAUAUAAUAAUUUUUUGGUGCAAAUAAAACUCUCAUAGUCCAUAAAUACUGUAGAUUUAACUUUGUUUAAUACAUACAUUUAGUUAAAUCAUCAAACAUCUGUAUGACUUGCCAGUGACUUGCUUGACUCAAGCUAAGACUUGACUUGAAUUGCUUGACGUUAAGCAGUGACUUGACUUGACUUGACUUGACUCUCACAAAAAAUGACUCGGACUUGCUUGAGACUUGAAGGUUAAGACUUGAGACUUACUUGAGACUUGCACAUGUGUGACUUACUCCCACCUCUGACCAUAAGGUAUCUGCCAUUUCUAUCAGCAAUAACAUCGGUAGGUAGAAACUGAAUAUUUUUACUGAUCAAGAUAGCAACUCCUCUUGAUUUAAAGUUAAAGUUAGAAUGAAAGACAUGCCCUAUCCAAGAAGCCUGCAGUCUACAAUGAUCUUUAGAUUUGAGAUGAGUUUCUUGCAAAAACACUAUGUCGGAAUUAAGCCGUUUCAAAUGGCUAAAAACUUUACCACGUUUAGAUGGGCUACUCAUGCCACGUAUAUUCCAGCUAAUGAAAUGAUACACACACGAAGACCCAUGAAUAUAUACACACCCCAGGAAAAGGAAAAAAAAAAAAAAAAGGAAUAGAAGAAAAAAAAGUCUCCAAAAGGGAGACAAUUACACAAAAACAAGAGAGAAAAAACAUUGAUGCCACGAGAUUGUGAUAUCAACUCGGAGAAUAGCCUGAGACUAAGCUGUAGUAGAGAGAUAGAUAAUUCCCACCGAGUCUUAAUACUGAAAAUGUAAAUGUAAUGUAAACCCCAUUAUACCCUGUUCCAAAUUAUUAUGCAAAUAAUAUUUUUCUCAUUUACCUAAAUAAUUGAUGUAAAUAACAGUCAGCAUAAUUCUCAUGUUAUCAACUAUUAAGAGUUAUAACAACAUUUUAACUUUUUAAACAUUUUAACAGGUCACGUUACAUUUUAACAUAGGACCCUUAUUUGAUAGCAGCUUCACAAGUCUUGCAUCCAUUGAACUUGUGAGUUUUUGUACAGUUUCUGCUUGAAUUUGUUUGCAAGAUGUCAGAAUAGCCUCCCAGAGCUGCUGUUUGGAUGUAAACUGUUUCCCACCCUCAUAGAUCUUUUGCCUGAGGAUGCUCCAAAGGUUCUCAAUAGGAUUGAGGUCAGGGGAGGAUGGAGGCCACACCAUGACUUUCUCUCCUUUUAUCCCCAUAGCAGCCAUUGAUGCAGAGGUAUUCUUUGCAGCAUGAGAUGGUGCGUUGUCAUGCAUGAAGAUGACUUUAUUACGGAAAGCAUAGUUCUUCCUUCUGUACCAGGGAAGAAAGAGGUAAGUCAGAAACUCUACAUACUUUGCAGAAGUCAUCUUUACACCUUCGGGGACCCUAAAGGGGCUGAUCAGCUCUCUUCCCAUGAUUCCGGCCCAAAACAUGACUCCACUACCGCCUUGCUGACGUUGUAGCCUUGUUGGAACAGGUUGGCCGUCCACCAACCAUCCACUACUCCAUCCAUCUGGACCAUCCAGGGUUGCACAGCACUCAUCAGUGAACAGGACUGUUUGAAAAUUAGUCUUCAUGUAUUUUUCUGCGAAAUGCAGCCGUUUCUGCUUGUGAGCAUUGGUUAGUGGUGGCCGAAUAGAAGGUUUAUGCACAGUUGAAAGACUCUGGAGGACUCUACACCUUGAUGUCCGUGGGACUCCAGAGGCACCAGCAGCUUCAAAUAUCUGUUUGCUGCUAUGUAAUGGUAUUUUAGCAGCUGCUCUCUUGAUCCAAUGCAUGGAUCUGGCAAUCUUCCUCAAUGUGCCUUUAUCUGCACGAACCCGUCUGUGCUCUGAAUCAGACACAAAUCUCUUAAUAGUGUGAUUAUCACGCUUAAGUUUUCGUGAAAUAUCUAAUGUUUUCAUACCUCAUCAAAGGCAUUGAACUAUUUCACUCUUUUCGGCAGCAGAGAGAUCCUUUUUCUUCCCCGUAUUGCAUGGAAAUUGUGCUCUGCUUAAUAAUGUGGAACACCCUCCUUUAGUAGUUUUUCCUUCAAUUGGGCUCACCUGGCAAUCUAAUUAUAACAGGUGUCCAAGAUUGUUUUCAGUGAUCAAAAGAGCCCUGAGACACAGUGCCAUCCAUGAGUUAAACUGAAAAACAAAAUAUUUCAUCUUUGUGACACUUAAAUAGAAUUUUCAUAAUAAUUUGGAACAGGGUGUAUAUAAACAGGAAGUAAACACAUACUGAUAUUACCGUAUUACUGCAGAAUAAAUCUACCCAAUGUUCAUCGUUUUUAUAUACUUCUUGGCCUCUUCUGCAGAAACAAAGUCUUUUUCCACACCUUUAUAUGUAAUCCGCAGACGAGCCGGAAAGAAAAGACCAUAACGAACCCCUUCCAGGCCGUGCAGUUGCCUCCUAACCUUGGCUGUGUGGUCGGGGAAAACGGACAUCUUUAUUUCUCCCACAGCAUCUUGUCGUCUCUCUCUGGCACACCGUAGAACAUUCUCACAGUCGCUAUAAUGAAACCUGGCAAUAACAGUGCGCAGUCGCUCACCGUGUUUGGGCUUCGGCUGAGAGGUUCUACUGUAUGUGCUCGGUCUAACAGCGGUGUUUCAUCCAGUUUAAAAGCUUCCUUCAGCAGUGUAGAGACAACCGUAGUGUUAAUGACGGUAUCCUAGGGAAUCCCGACUAUCCUAAUGUUAUUCCGUCGCAACCGAGAUUCGAGGUCCUCACACUUAUUUUGCAGCGGAGCAAACUCUGUGUUUAAUAAUUUAAAAAAAUAAAAAAAGUUGGUGUAUAAUUUUAUGUUCACCAGUGAUAUUUAAAUGCAGUUAUUUUGUUUAAGCCGGAGGGGAGAAAGUGCUUCGUGGGCCUUCUGUGUGUUUCUGGGUGAGCGUGAAGCAUCAGUGUUGUUCACUUUUAGUAAUUUCACAAAAGGUGUUCAUUGGUCAUGUACAUACAUACACUUAUUGAAAUGAGUGCAAUAUUAUUAAUGCUUAAUGAUUUAAUGUCAUGUGUUCUUUAAUAUAUGCAGAGAAGUCUGUCAUAUGCUGUGAUAGUGUGUGCAUGUGCCAGAGUUGGGAUAAAAAAUAAGUUUGAGACAUUGUAAUUCAUUUCAUUCUAGUUAUUUACUGUGUUGUAAUACCUAGUUUUAAGUAGACAAGCAAGUGUUAUGUUGUGUCAUGAUAUGUGUAAGGUUUAAACUGUAUUAUGCAUUAAUCACACAAUGUAACAUGUUAUGAAGGACUGUAUCUUCAUGUACUCUUAUGUUACCUAAGCAGCCUUAUUUAGUCUUCUGUGCAGAUGUUAUAUCCAGAUUUUAUAUUCAUGUGUCUGUUUGUUUUCUAAAAUCAGGGGCUUCUACCGUUGUCUAUUGUUGUCUAUGUUAGGUUUAUAUUGUUGUCUAUGUUAGGUCUAUUGUUGGCUAUGUUAGGCUUACAUAUGUUAGGCCUACUGUAGGUUAUAUCCAUGUUAGUUGGUUAAAAAAUGAUAUAUGCACUGUUAUGAGGGAAGCUGACUUUUUGAUUGUCAACAAUUUUAUUUACUAAAUCCUACCUUUCCAACAUCUUCCCCAAAGUUUAAUUAAUGCCCCAAAAUUAAUGCUGCACUGUUUAACAUACAGUCCACAAAUCUGUACCAGAAGAUAAUCCAGAAAACAAGAAAAUCAGAACAAGAGAGCAAGUGUCAUAUAUGGUAAAGGAUGCAAUGGUAUAAAUGUUUCAGAAGUUAAAUACAUCAUCAUAUAAUGUCUCACAAUAUUUAUUAUAUGGUUAACAUGAAUAAUUUCUACACCUUUUUUCUUUUAACAGUUUGUGUUAUCUGGCAGGGGAACUCGUAAAAUGUCUGAAAGCUCAAGGACAAAAGAUUUCUAUUAAAGAUAUCCUCUGUGUUCAGAUUGCAGGAUUGUGCCAUGACCUAGAAACCACUUCACCUCCUCUCGCAGCUCAUACAACCGCUGUAGCACCUGCCCCCUGGAGAGCCAGCGAACUUCAGUGUGCAGAAGCAGCUGUUCAUGCCCUGACCCCAUCUCCUGGCAGAGGACCCUAAACAAGCGAGAGUUUAGAGGCCGUGAUUUGAUGAGAUUUAUCGUUUUCACGGAUUGGUUCAGCACGGAGUAAAAGAGACAUUUUUUUUAGCAGCUAGUGCUUCACGAUGGACCAUGCAAUGUGUCCAUUUCACAAGUGGAGCUACUUGCUGAACGCGAGCAGCUAGGCCACGCUCACGCCCCGUCAUUGCCUGCGCACCAUCUGUGCAUAGUCCAAAGCAUCGGUCCCAAGCCAAACCAUUUUCACGGAUAAAAAUAUCAAGGACACUGAAAAUGGCUUCUCCUGUAGUGUGCAACCGAAGAGGCCGGCAAAACAGGACAUCCUCCUCAAUCACCUUGUCCCGCAGAUACCUGACAUAGGUGAGGAGCUGUGCCUGCCCAGCAAUAUCAGUGGAUUCAUCCAGCUGCAGCACAUAGUAAGGACUCUUUUUUAUGAACUUUGCCAGUUGCUCUCUGAUAUCGUUGGACAUGUCUACAAUUCUCCUAGCGACUGUGUCAUUAGACAGUGGUACUGCACCGAGUUUGUCUGCUGCACUACAUCCUGAAUCUAUCAUUAUUCUGCACAUGUCUUGCGCUGCCGGCAAAAUGAGAGUCUCGGCGAUUGUAUGUGGUUUACCCAGUUUACUGAUUCUUUUGGCCACUACAUACGAUGCCUCCAAACACUGUUUAGACACAGUGCUGUGCACUGAAAUGGUUGCCUGUUGCUGAUGGAGGCCAUCAAGCUUUCUUUUAAAAUAUUCAGCCAGUUUAUUUUUAAUGCCAGCGUGCUUUGUUUCGAGGUGCCUUUUUAAUUUGCAGGGCUUCAUACUGUCGUUUGCCAGCACCUCGGCACACACGACACACUGAGGUCUCAUAUCAGCCGUGACUGUAAACCCAAACUGCAGAUAUGCUUCAUCGUACCUUCGAAGCUUUUUUGCAGCUGGUGUUGUGUCGGUUGGCUUGCUGGUCCUCACAAGAAAUUUCUCCAUUUUUGUUAUGUGUCUUCAAUAUUCAAGUUUAGGCAAUAUGUAAUGUGCGAGUGUGUGGCUAUGUUGAGAGACGUAUCGGGGGCUAAUCAGUCGGGACUUAGGCACAAUCUUUAAUAAAACGAACAAAAUAAUUAUUAUUUUGCAGACAAUUCAGAUUUUAUUUUAAUACAUAACGAUUGUAGUCCUUCGUCAGUGUGUGUGUGUGUGUGUGUGUAUGUGUGUGUCUUAGUCGCGUGGGUGGUUUUUAGCUAGACUCGUGCUUUCGAGUCUCCAAACACCACAAAAGUCUCCAAAAACACCAGUAAAAGUCGCUGGAUUUGUCGCUUUUGACAAAAAAAAGUCGCCAGGAGGAUGAUUUGUUUGUGUUAUAAUCAGUGCUUCAGGUGGGGUAAAAAGGUGGCGGUACUCUCUUUGCAUUGGCAAAUCAUGACAUUUUUACAUUGAAAAACAAAACUUGGAGAUAUUGCUGUUCCAACAACAAAUUAUUUUUAUUUAUUAACAACAUAAAUGUAUUUAAACAUGUUUGUGUGUGCGUGGCUGCGUGCGUGUGAGCAUUUCUUUACAAAGACAUCUAAACAUUUUCUUUUUAGGAGUUGGUCAUUAAUAAACUUGAUAGUCUUGAAGUUUGUUAAGAUGGCAUACAACAAUUGCAUCUAGAUGUUAAACAACAAAAACAACCAAGAAAACAGCCCUGGGGCCUGUUGCACAAAAGUAGAAUUAAGACAUCCAGGAUAAAUGACUGAGCUGAGCUCAAUGAAUCCAAAACACGUGCGUCCAGGCUUAAUUGGUUGCACAAAGACCAAGCCAGGAUGAGCAGACACGGAUUCAUCAAGCCAGGUGUAACCAAUCCUGGAUAUGUGCGCGCUCACGUCUCACUCAAAUAGACCCGCCACCGAUCACAGAUUCACUGAUUCACCAUGACAACUAGAGCGGCGUACUUUUCCCCGUCGGAGGCACAAAUCCUCCUGGAGGCAUACGAGGAGAUAAAAGAAAUAAUUAAGAAGAAAGUCAACACCGCCACAGUGAUCAAACAAAGAGAAAAAGCGUGGCAAAGUAUUGCAGACCGACUGAAUGCAUCGUCUGCAAUGCUGACUGUGUGAUCAGCAAUGUUGUGGCAAAAUGGCCUGGCUCAGUCCAUGACUCCAGAAUCUUUCGGGCCUCUGAAAUCUAUCAGCACCUAUCACAAGGUGAAUUCUCUGGUGUGUUGCUGGGAGACAGGGGGUAUGGCUGCCAGCCUUUUCUCCUGACACCUUUCACAGACCCCCAGGAAGCGGGCCUACAACCACGCCCAUGCCCGGAUCAGGGCCAGAGUUGAAAUGGCCUUUGGCCUCCUGAAAGCACGCUUUCACUGCCUACACAAAUUAAGGGUCAGCCCUGUGAGGGCAUGUGACAUUACUGUGGCUUGUGCUGUUCUC